CCAGCCGUAAACUAUGAACACUAGGUGUGGGGGGUAUCGACCCCUUCCGUGCCGCAGCUAACGCAAUAAGUGUUCCGCCUGGGGAGUACGGCCGCAAGGUUGAAACUCAAAGGAAUUGACGGGGGCCCGCACAAGCGGUGGAGUAUGUGGUUUAAUUCGAAGCAACGCGAAGAACCUUACCAAGGCUUGACAUCGAUGGAAGGACGCUGAAAGGCGUCUGCUCUUCGGAGCCAGAAGACAGGUGG
rnacentral:rRNA from 1 species